GUAUGAAAUGAUGGCAUACCAUCUUUCGGGACUGACACUUCAUGGAGAUGCUUUUUAACCUUACUGAUCAUAU